UGCCGCUGUCUCACUCACCAUUUGCCAGAUUGUUGUUGCUUCCAUGCCUGACUCUCCAGCGCUUGUUCCCAGACUGAUUCCCUGUUGCCGACCCUGCCUGUUCCUGACCAUUGCCUCGCAUCUCAGCCCUGUCCUGGAUCUGUGUCUGAAGUCCCUGACUCCGAUCCUGCUUGUUUCUGACCUUGCCUCAUGUCUUUGACCGGUUUCAGUAUCUGGAUUGACCUAAACCAUGUUCUGAAAGGAGCAAACAAUCACAUCAUUUGCAUUGGACCAGAGGAAACAAGUCUACCUGCCCACAGCUGGAAUAUUUUGAACAAAAACCUGGUUACUGUGAGUGUGUACUGG